rnacentral:rRNA from 1 species
CCCUUAGAUGCUCCGGGCCGCACGCGCGCUACACUGGUCGAUGCAACGAGUUUCUUUCCUUGGCCGACAGGCCUGGGCAAUCUUUGAACAUCGAUCGUGAUCGGGAUAGAUUCUUGUAAUUUUUGAUCUUAAACGAGGAAUUCCUAGUAAACGCAAGUCAUCGGCUUGCAUUGAUUACGUCCCUGCCCUUUGUACACACCGCCCGUCGCACCUACCGAUUGAAUGGUCCGGUGAAAUCUCCGGACUGGCGUGAGUCGGAGCAAUCUGACAAACACCGGAAAGUUGAUUAAACCUUACCAUUUAGAGGAAGGUGAAGUCGUAACA